GAUGAACGCUGGCGGCGUGCUUAACACAUGCAAGUCGAACGUGAACCAGCAGCAAUGUUGGGGAAAGUGGCGGACGGGUGAGUAACACGUGGGUGACCUGCCUUGCAGGCGGGGGAUAACGAGGGGAAACCUUCGCUAAUACCGCAUAGGCUUACACUGAUGGGAAUGGUGUGGGUAAAACUUGGCGCUGCAAGAGGGGCCUGCGUCCGAUUAGCUAGUUGGUGAGGUAAAGGCUCACCAAGGCGAUGAUCGGUAGCUGGUCUGAGAGGACGAUCAGCCACACGGGAACUGAGAAACGGUCCCGACUCCGUACGGGGGGCAGCAGUGAGGAAUAUUGGGCAAUGGGCUAACGCCUGACCCAGCAACGCCGCGUGGAGGAUGAAGGUUUUGAUUGUAAACUCCUUUUGUGGGGAAGAGUGAGGACGGUACCCCAAGAAUAAGUCACGGCUAACUACGUG
rnacentral:rRNA from 1 species